rnacentral:rRNA from 1 species
AUUGACCGCUGGCGGCAGGCUUAACACCUGCAAGUCGAACGAGUGGCGGACGGGUGAGUAAUGCUUGGGAAUCUGGCUUAUGGAGGGGGAUAACGACGGGAAACUGUCGCUAAUACCGCGUACCAUAGGAUGAGCCCAAGGUGGAUUGGGUAGUUGGUGGGGGAAUGGCCUACCAAGCCGACGAUCUCUAGCUGGUCUGAGAGAAUGACCAGCAACAACGGGACUGAGCCACGGCCCGGCGUCCUACGGGAGUAAGCAGUGGGGAAUAUUGCGCAAUGGGGGCAACCUGACGCAGCCAUGCCGCGUGAAUGAAGAAGGCGUUCGGGUUGUAAAGUUCUUUCGGUGACGAGGCGUUAAUCACAGAAGAAGCACCGGCUAACUCCGUGCCAGCAGCCGCGGUAAUUC